rnacentral:rRNA from 1 species
GACGAACGCUGGCGGCGUGCUUAACACAUGCAAGUCGAACGGAAAGGCCCUGCUUUUGUGGGGUGCUCGAGUGGCGAACGGGUGAGUAACACGUGAGUAACCUGCCCUUGACUUUGGGAUAACUUCAGGAAACUGGGGCUAAUACCGGAUAGGAGCUCCUGCUGCAUGGUGGGGGUUGGAAAGUUUCGGCGGUUUGGGAUGGACUCGCGGCUUAUCAGCUUGUUGGUGGGGUAGUGGCUUACCAAGGCUUUGACGGGUAGCCGGCCUGAGAGGGUGACCGGCCACAUUGGGACUGAGAUACGGCGCAGACUCCUACGGGAGGCAGCAGUGGGGAAUAUUGCACAAUGGGCGGAAGCCUGAUGCAGCAACGCCGCGUGCGGGAUGACGGCCUUCGGGUUGUAAACCGCUUUCGCCUGUGACGAAGCGUGAGUGACGGUAGUGGGUAAAGAAGCACCGGCUAACUACGUG